rnacentral:rRNA from 1 species
AUGCAAAGCAAAUAUGUGAAGAAGAAGUAUCUCUUACUAACCCGGAUUAGGAGUUCUCUAGGGGCGUUUGCGGAUCUGCCGUGCAGUGUGUCUGACGCUGCAGAGUUCUUCCGAGCCGAAGAAGGGAGCUCUACGGAGAAGCUGUUCUGGUCGCAAUAUCUUACGCCAGAACAUCCAGUGCCCUUUAGCAAUCAGCUAAAACAGCUGGUCGAGCUACAUAGGGUGGCAGAACUGGCCAUGAAGGAUGUAAUAAUCCGGCUGUGGCCUGCUGAAGCUAUAUCCGGCAGCUACUUCGGGCUCGUGAAGCGGCUGGUGAAUGCAUGUCCUCGGCUGGACGUCGUCAAGCGGUCGGUCUGCAUCGAGGGCGCGCGCAUGGCCUUUGCCCGCAUCAAGGUGUGGUGGGCGAAGAUGGAUGCCGUCAAUCUUACGACCGAGGGACCGCCAGAGCGCAAGGAGCACCGCAUGCCCGAGCGGUAUUUUGAAGACGUCCUGGAGGUGUCUCGUAUUGUAAUGUGCGCAAGACAUUAUUUUUGGAUGAAUACAUUCAUGUUGUCUCUGCCUUGUAUGAUGAAACAAAGUCGUUAUGCAACAAAAUGUUUGUUGUUUUAA